UACAGAGGGUGCUAGCGUUGUUCGGAAUCAUUGGGCGUAAAGGGCGUGUAGGCGGUUUGUUAAGUCAUGUGUGAAAUCCCUCGGCUCAACCGGGGAACGACGCAUGAAACUGGCAAGCUAGAGUACCAAAGAGGGGGGUGGAAUUCCCGGUGUAGCAGUGAAAUGCGUAGAGAUCGGGAGGAACAUCCGUGGCGAAGGCGACUACCUGGACCAGCACUGACACUGAGGCACGAAAGCGUGGGGAGCAAACAGGG
rnacentral:rRNA from 1 species